GCGGUUUUAGCUCAGUUGGGAGAGCGUCAGACUGAAGUUAAACUUCAGUCCAGUAAAUCUGAAGGUCCAGUGUUCGAUCCACUGAAACCGCA
rnacentral:tRNA from 1 species